rnacentral:rRNA from 1 species
GACAGAGGGGGCAAGCGUUGCUCGGAAUUACUGGGCGUAAAGGGCUCGUAGGCGGCCAGCUAAGUCAGACGUGAAAUCCCUCGGCUCAACCGAGGAACUGCGUCUGAUACUGAUUGGCUUGAAUCCGGGAGAGGGAUGCGGAAUUCCAGGUGUAGCGGUGAAAUGCGUAGAUAUCUGGAGGAACACCGGUGGCGAAGGCGGCAUCCUGGACCGGCAUUGACGCUGAUGAGCGAAAGCCAGGGGAGCAAAC